rnacentral:rRNA from 1 species
AUGAACGCUGUCGGCGUGCCUAAUACAUGCAAGUCGAGCGAACAGACGAGGAGCUUGCUCCUCUGACGUUAGCGGUGGACGGGUGAGUAACACGUGGAUAACCUACCUAUAAGACUGGGAUAACUUCGGGAAACCGGAGCUAAUACCGGAUAACAUGUUGAACCGCAUGGUUCAACAGUGAAAGACGGUCUUGCUGUCACUUAUAGAUGGAUCCGCGCCGCAUUAGCUAGUUGGUAAGGUAACGGCUUACCAAGGCAACGAUGCGUAGCCGACCUGAGAGGGUGAUCGGCCACACUGGAACUGAGACACGGUCCAGACUCCUACGGGAGGCAGCAGUAGGGAAUCUUCCGCAAUGGGCGAAAGCCUGACGGAGCAACGCCGCGUGAGUGAAGAAGGUCUUCGGAUCGUAAAACUCUGUUAUUAGGGAAGAACAAAUGUGUAAGUAACUAUGCACGUCUUGACGGUACCUAAUCAGAAAGCCACGGCUAACUACGUG